UUUGGAGAAGUUUUCUAAGGGAUUUUAUUUCCCUGCUUCCUCUGGAGAGGAAGCCUAGUGAAGAGGGAUUUUAGAUAAACUAACAGGAGCCUGAGAGCCAGAGCCUAGCAAGACCACCCACACCAUGGGUCCAGUCAAAAGCCUGAGCCCUGGCACAGGUGCGCGUCCAAGCUGCGGUGGGUGGGGGUCUUCAUUACUCCACUUCCCCCACCCUGAGAACCGGUGCCCUGCUAUUUGACGAGGAGCCUCGGAUCUUCCAGAGGGCCACAGGAGUAACUUCCUUCGUUUGCGUGGUCCUUUGCCUCAGACAGUUCGGGUGGGGCUGGCUUUAUCCUGAAAGGUGAGUGCACCCCGGGUUCCUGCCACCUUUACUUCAGUGGGUACCAAGGCUCACUGAAAAGGCCUCGGUUGUGGUUCUACUUGGUCUGUGGGGGUUCUUUUUUUAUGGGGUUUUUUUCCAGUACCGGGGAUCGAACUCGGGACCUUGGGGGCCGGGGAUUUAGCUCAGUGGUUCUGGCGCCUGCCUUGCAAGGGCAAGGUCCCGAAUUCGAUCCCCAGUACAAAAAGAAAAGAAAAAAUAUAAAGUUUAAAUAUUUCCAACGAACUCAGGACCUUGGGCUUGCCAGGCAGCCGUCGCACCAAGUUUUUGUUCGUUUGUUUUUGGUCCUGGGGAUCGAACUCGGGACCUUGCCCUUGCGAGGCAGGAGGAGAAACCACUGAGCUAAACCUGUGGCCCUCCAAGUUUUGUUUUAAUGAGCACUUGUACUUGGCUUGGAUUAAUUAUAUACUGUAGAAGUCUUGUGGCCUUUGGGUCCACAUAGAAAAAGGCUCCUUGCCAGUGUAGUGCUGCACACCUGUACUCCCAGCACUUGGGAGCCUGAGGCAGGAGGAUCACUUGGAGUUGAAGGCCAGCCUGAGCUACAUAGUGAGUUCAAGGCCAACAUGCACUGUAUAGGGAGACCCUGUCUCAAAAACACAAAAGUGUCCUCAGUGUCAGCACGUCAGCCCUGGCAUGCUAGCCUCUAUAAAAAGGAAUGAUUAUGAUAAAUAUGUUUCUAGUAUACAAAAAAAUCAUAGGAGUAUUGAUGGCAUUGCCUGGGGCAACGUUAAGAAAAAAAAGAGUUGAAACUGUUUCCUCAAGCCCAACAAGAAAAACGCUGUUUAACAGAGAUUUAGGAGAAAACUCUGGUAUUGGAAAACUUUUCACUAAUGCUAUGGAAUCUUUAGAUGAAGAAGAGAAAGAUUAUUAUUUUUCAAACUCUGAUUCUGCGUAGAAAAAUGUGAUUUCCAGGACUUUCACAAAAAAGCAGAUGGUGUAUUUAUCUACAUUUAGAAAGUAUUUAUGUAUUUUCUUUAUGAUGUAGGUUCAUAUGGAAAUGUCGAUUCUUUUUUCAAAGGUUUCAUGUUUGCAAUGGAAAGUAAAAUAUACUAAAAUAUUCCCCAUUGCUGCAUCUUACCAAAAAUGUAAGGAAAAUUGUUUUGUGCAGACAUUUGUAAAUAUGGUUUGUAAUAUUAAAAUAUAUAUAGUUAACUCUUAAAAAAAACAAAUAAAUACAGUACAAUUUUAAAAAAACUGGAGCUCUUUCCCGGAUUUAGCCUGGAUUUUCCCUUGGAUAACAGAUGUGCUUAAAGCACCACCAACCGUGACAGCCAGAUUAGCUUGCCUUUUUUCUGGAUUCCUCUCCUUUUUAUCCUCCAGGUCUUGUUUGUUUUGUUUUUAGUUUUUUGAGACAGGGUCUCACUAUGUAGUUCAGGCUGGCCUUGAACUCACCACAGUCCUCCUGCCUCAGCUUCCCCAGUGCUGAGAUUACAGGCAUGCGCCAUCACACUAGGCAAGGUCCUGAUUGUUGAAGACAGAAAAGGCUGUGUCCAGCAAGUAGGUCAAAGGGGUCUGGGACCUAUCUGAAGGUUUUGUACUUUGCACAAAAUCUCUGGCUGGAUUUUCCUCUUUGCCCUGUGUAACCUGCCUUACUUUUUCAUAAUUAACAGGUUUCUUGUUUGAUUGUUGUUGUUUUGUUUUCCUUUGCUUUUUUGAGAUAGGGUCCUCUAUGUAGCUCAGGCCGGCCUUGAACUCACUGUGUAGCCCAGGCUGACUUCAAACUUGCAGUGAUCCUCCUGCUUCAGCCUCCUGAGUGCUGGGAUUACAGGUGUGCACCACCACACCCAGUCUAACAGGUUUCUCAACACAUCUUUCUGCUCCCACGGACUCUGCUUUUCAUCAUGGCUACAGCAAGUGGUGAGACAAACUGGACGUCUCCGCCGUGUGAGAGGUCAGAGCAAGGGUCAAAGUCAGAAACCCAUCUGCAAACCUCCGGGGUCUCCUGAAGUCGGCCUGAGUGCCUUGCCUUGUUUGUGUCUGUACUGGAAAAGGGCCCUGGAGCCGGAACCCCUCCUUGGGACUCUCCAAGAGGCCGAGCACUGUGAGUUGAAGGAGUGGGAAACUCCACCCCGCCUGUGUCCUUCCUGGAUCAGAGCUGACUGGGGGGCUGAAGCUGAGGUUUCUGAGGCACUUGGGGAGGGUGGCCUGGUUUCCUAGGCUAAGGAGACUCCCGGUGUGGCUGCUUCUGUAAACACAUGGGGGCUGAGAAGGGGCCUCAGUGACUUCAGUCUCCUCUCUGGGCUUCUUCAAGUGCCACACCUGGGCCUUCGCAGAAAGCAGUUGCUGAUAAAGAGCCAUGAGAGCCUGAGCACAAGGAAUUUCACGCCAGUGUCCCUGCCUUUUGCAGAAUAGAUCUAGCUGAAGAACAGUGCUGUGAUUUAGAUGAAUUCUGUACCCAUCUGUCACCAUUUCUGAGUUCAUACCGCACCAAACAGUUCUGCAAUAGGAGAUGAGCGUUUUUUUCUCUCAGAUAGUCAGGGUCCAUUUAUUUCCACUUUGAAGGGUGGAGCCUCAUGAUGAGGUUGCUGGGAUCGCAGGGUGUUUCCUGUGGGGCUUCUGGGGCCUCUGGGCUGGCUCACCAAGAAAUGCUACCACAUGUGGGUCCCAGGGAAAUUCCUUCCAGGUUCUUGGUGUCUUGGACAAGACACAGGGAAAACGUAGUGGAGAUGUACAUUUAUUGAAGGUGGGAAAGAAGUUCACUCUGCAGAGUGAAACCGAGCUAGUGAACAGACUCACAGUGGCCAAAAAAGUAAAAUUCCGAGACAGUCUCACUAAAUUCCCCAGCUGACCUCAAACUUGCAAUCCUCCUGCUUCAGCCUUCCCAGUAGCUAGGAUUACGGUAUGUGUCACAGUUCCUGACUUCAUUUGACUCUUUUUUUAUGGCUUCCAUUUCUCUACUACGUAUUAAUUGAAUAAUUAUAAAAUGUUUUUCUUUGUAUCAUUAAACAUAUUUAUUAAAUCUG